GAUGAACGCUGGCGGCGUGCCUAACACAUGCGAGUCGAGCGAACGAACGGAGCUUGCGCUUCGCUGAAGUUACGGACGGGCGGGUGAGUCACACGUGGAUAACCUACAUAUCAGGCUGAGAUCACGUAGGGACACCGGAGCUAACACCGGAUAAUAUUGUGAAACGCAUGGUUCAUAAGUGAAAGACCGUCUUGCUGUCUCUUAUAGGUGGAUCCGCGCUGCAUUAGCUUGUUGGUAGGGUAACGGCUUACCAAGGCAACGAUGCAUAGCCGACCUGAGAGGAUGAUCGGCCACACUGGAACUGAGACACGGUCCAGACUCCUACGGGAGGCAGCAGUGGGGAAUCUUCCGCAAUGGGCGAAAGCCUGACGCAGCAACGCCGCGUGAGUGAAGAAGGUCUUCGGAUUGUAAAACUCUUUUAGUUGGGAAGAACAUAUGUGUGUGAAUCGGUGCACGUCUUGACGGUACCGACACAGAAAGCCCCGGCUAACUACGUG
rnacentral:rRNA from 1 species